rnacentral:lncRNA from 1 species
GCAUGAAGAAGAGGAAAAGCACGUGGAGGAUAGAGUAAAAUACGUAGACUAAGAGAGAAAGUAGGAUGCGGUGAUGGAAGUGAGAGCCGCUUGGAAAAAACUGGGAGAGAGGAGGAGGAGGUGGCGCUUGGAGCAGCAAAGACUCUGCGGUGUGUGCGCGUGCGCGCGAGAAAGAAUGGGGAAAGUAAUAGAUACUCGAAAGGCUGACUGGGUUGAUGAAUGGAAUUCCCCUCCGUAAUUUUUGGAGUCAUAAUUUUUGCCCCUUGGACUGUGCUUCUUGAAGUGCAGCGUGCCUGGAGCCCGGGCCGUGGGGCCACUCGGCUACGGAUGCUAUGUGAUCUAACCAGGACCCAGGAAGGGGCCCUCUGGCUGCAGUGAGAGAGGGGUACACGGGGCGACACGCAGUGUUCUCAGGAGGGCGGCACAGCUGCUGCAGGUGAGAAGUGCUGGGGACGGUCGAGAUCACUGGACGCCCUCAGAAAUGGUACUGCGGCUGGAGAAAUCAUUAACGAGGAAAGAAAUAACCCAAUUUCCGGGAGGCUGGGACAGGAGAAUUGCUUGAACCCGGGAGCAGAGGUUGCCGGGAGCCGAGAUCGCGCCACUGCACUCCAGCCUGGGCGACAGAGCGAGAUUCCGUCUCAAAAAAAAAAAAGAAAAGAAAAGAAAAGAAAGGAAAAGAAAAGAAGAGAAAAGAAAGAAACACCCAAUUUCAGAAAGAGAUGAGAAUGGAGAGCUCAGAAGACACAAUUUCUCUCUCACACUUCUGCCUUCUGGCCACAUCCUCCCAGACAGGAUAAAUUUGAAGGUGGUUCCCCCACGCCCCGCUAAAGAAAGUCACCCCUCCAGCCCCCACUUCACCCAAGAUCUUCCCCGUGGGAAUGAACUGAAACAUCGAGAUUUUUCUGUGGUGAUCGAACUGGAGGACUCUAACUUUCACUUACAAGAUCUAUUCAUGUUUGCAACAACAUAUCAUGAUGGGUGGAGAAUACUAAUACCAAAGGACUGAGUCUCUUUAAAUUUGACCAACUGACUUAGCAGGCAGCUGGUGCCUUGGUUCCUUUCUAUCCCUCAUGCUUAAGAUAACUUGACAAGACACUGAGGGAUAUUUUGAACCUUUCAGGCCUAAAAGCUGUGAUUUGGAUGGAAUUAAUAAAAUGGCAAGAGCUAUCUCCAACUUUGCCACCUGAGAAACACAAGUCCAAGUCCAAUACUUACAGAAGAAAUAACUAUUCCACCUAGUCAAGGAACUAGCCAACACUUAAUGGAGGAUUGCCCUUGGUUAUAGAGCUAACUGCAAAUGAAGUAACUAGAGGAAGACCAUUUACCUUCUCCAUUGAAGAGACCAUUCAAGAGCCAACUCAGCAAUCAGGGUCUAGCAGUGUUACUGACUGGAUGACUGGCACUUAGAGUCCAGCACCCUGCUGAGAAACCAGCAACCCAUGUGAGGAUUCCAUGGCCAACUGAGAUCACAAGACUCUUGAACAGAAGAAAUGCCAAGAGAGCUAGAAUCUUACAGAUGGUGGUAUUAAUAAUGGAGCAAACUAGAACCAAUGACAAAGACAUGAAGUCUGAAAAUAGCACAGAGAAUAUAAAUAUUGUGAGAUGAAUGUUCCCCCUUCAAUUCUCCUUAUUUGCCAAAUAUUUUCAUUUCCUUUUGUCAUUAUAGAAAAUAAAACCAUGCAUCACAGUCAAAAGUGCUCCACUAGCAACAUUGUAUGAUUCACUCUUUUUGUCAUACAUGUCUUUAGUAAUUGAUGGAUAUUAAAAUCACACAGACUAUUUAAUAAGGGCUUAUUUUACUUGCAUCGCCACUUUGAUUCAAAAAAAGAUUUAAGGUAGUUAAUAAGGUUAGAAGGAAAGAGAGUUAACAAAGACAAGAACUUUAACUAGAGUCAAAACUAAAGUCAAUAUUUAAGAAAUAAACACCACAUAGUCUCCCACGCUUUCUC